CCUACGGGAGGCAGCAGUGAGGAAUAUUGGUCAAUGGUCGGGAGACUGAACCAGCCAAGUCGCGUGAGGGAGGAAGGUACAUAGUAUCGUAAACUUCUUUUGUCAGGGAACAAAGACUGGGACGCGUCCCCGGAUGAGUGUACCUGAAGAAAAAGCAUCGGCUAACUCCGUGCCAGCAGCCGCGGUAAUACGGAGGAUGCGAGCGUUAUCCGGAUUUAUUGGGUUUAAAGGGUGCGCAGGCGGGAUGUCAAGUCAGCGGUAAAAGCGCGGGGCUCAACCCCGGCCGGCCGUUGAAACUGGUUGUCUAGAGUUGGAGAGAAGUAUGCGGAAUGCGUGGUGUAGCGGUGAAAUGCAUAGAUAUCACGAAGAACUCCGAUUGCGAAGGCAGCAUGCCGGCUCCACACUGACGCUGAGGCACGAAAGCGUGGGGAUCGAACAGGAUUAGAUACCCUUGUAGUC
rnacentral:rRNA from 1 species